CGUAGGCAUGUAAUAGGCUAUUAUUAGCCUCGCCCAGCUUUGCAUAGGCGAGGACUAGGUACUCGUUAACCAAGGAUUUGUCCCUGUGUUUGUUCAACAUGUGCUUGUACAUGUAUUUGUAUGUGGCAUGCAAUAGACUAUUAUUAACCGAGGAUUGUGUGUAUUACAUGCAAUACCUUCUACCUACCAUGCAGUUGGUGCAGCUUUUGUGUGCCAUUGUGUAAGUUCCACAAAGAAAAUGGAAGUGCUCCUGAGUAUAAACUCUGUCCCAAUAACUGUUAAAACUUUUGUAAUGUUGUUAUUAUUGUUUUUGUUUUAAAUAAAGUGUAUAAUUAACAUGA